ensembl:lncRNA
CAUUGCUCUCUUUUCAAAUGGAAACUGUGUUUUCCAGUGGCCAGUUAUGAAACUAGAAGUUUAACGUGUGCAUCAACAUUUACAUAUAAAUGCUCCUGUACACACUGCUGGAGACGAAGGUGGAGAGGAAGCAAGCCUGUUUCAGCAGGUUGCACACCUGCUCUGCUUGCGUUGACUGAAACGAAGCCGCCACGUAACUGCUGGAAACGACUGCAAACUUUUUGUUGUUGUUCAAAGACAGUAAUGAGUACUGUUCAACAAAUGAUGGCUUUUACAGUUGGACUUCAGCUAUUGCAGAAUAUAUAUAUACAGAAUAGAUUGGACAAAGAACAAGAAAAUGUCAACAGUGGUUUCAGCUUCUUUCCCGCCCCCCAGACUUAUCUUCAUUUUAGUAAAGAGUAUUUGCAUGCAUAUUAUUCUACAGUAAGAAAGAGAGUCCCCCCCAAGUAUAAAAAAGGAAGUAAUUAAAACCAGCCAUCAGCAUUAUGGUACGUGCAGAGAUCUACAAGGAAAACCUCUCAAAGUAAGUAACAUUGGUUUUAGGGCAGACAAGGGUUCUGCUAUCAUUCAAUGAUAAUAAACGCCCACUUGAAACAUCUUUGUUUUAGGGAGUGUAUCAUAUACAAUCAAUCAAUUAAACUGUACACAUCCUGAAGAGAAGAAAGAUGCCUCACAGAAAGUUUAUAAAGAGUGCUUGGGCCAACGUUACGAUAAUCAUGGCACGCAUGUUUGUGUGCAGAUAUUCGCUCAUUUAUGUGACAGGGAAACAUUAGAAUCUCCCCCCCCACCCCACCUUCUUUCGGCUUCCUAAAAUAAAGCAAGGAAGCACUGACUACUAGGUCUCAAGUUUUCCUCUAUUAUUCUCCUACAUUUCCGUUUCAGAGCAGUUCUGUAUUUGCACAGAUUUCUACAGAAGCCAGGGGUGUAUCUCACAAGAUAAUCCUUCAUAUCACAAACUUGCUUUUUUCAGUCAGUAUACAUACAAAGCAGUCAACCAGCCUCUAUUUCAGGAUAUGCACCUCCUUCCUUACAAAAUGUCUUUGGUUGGGGGUGAGUCCAGCCUCCUACAGGGUUUAAAUUAUCCACAUGCUCAAAAACUAAGGAAAUUACAUGACUACUGCUUUCUGUAAAUUCUUGUUCAAUAGUCUUAAGUGAUAUAAAAAGGUGCCAGGUUUAAUGUAAUUCAAAUUCAGAAGCACGGCUAUGAAUGAAGCUGUUUCUUAUUAGUGAAUUAAUCAGAACCUCUUGAAAUGUUUUUAAGGAAAGUCAAGGAAAUUAUUCCCACUGAGGUAUGUUUAUAGUUACACUGUUCAAAGAAAGGAGAUUAAAAAGAUUCUAUAAGCAGGUUCAUAGGCUGUUAAGUUUCAUUACAGUACAUUUUUAAAACAUCAUAAGGAUCUGUAAGAUGGAAGUAAUAACCAGAACAACUGAAAAAAAAUCUACCACCGAAGGAAAAUAAGAUUUAAACGAAACUCUACAGCUGUUUGAACAGGCAUUUGAGGGCAUCAGACCGAAGCAGGGACAAGGGAAUAUGGACUUUUCUUAUAAAAUAAAAAUGCAUUUCAUUAUGAAAUAAAUUCUGUAGUAGAGAUGAAAUAGGACAAUACUCCUGAGACUAACCUGAUGCAGAAAGCAACUGACUGUUUUCAGGACUGUUGCAAACCCAAAAUAGCCUUCUGAUGAGACUGCUAAAUACGAUAAACUAUCAAAGUAUGAGCAGAUGUCACCACAAUAAGCCCCAAAUUGCUUGAAAAUUAAAACAUUAAGAUCCACAAUAAUUCAAUUAGGCAAUUAAUAUAUAAACAGCUCUUAUUACAAGCUGUUCAGAAAAAAGAAAAAAAAGCCUCAGUAUUUAGUUUGGACCUAUUCUUUGGUCCAAAACAGAUGGUAACUCACAAAUUGAAGGUUAUCUUUGAUGUAAGUUGUUAAAUUCAGUAAGAGUAAUUAACAUCAUGUGUGUGUCAUAAACACACACAUGUGAAAUAUGACUUUGGUUAAUGACUUUCUGGUUAUACAACAUGACAAAUUAAUUAGUUUACUGCUAAAAAAUAAGAAGUUAAAGUGAGAAAUCUGACCUUCCAAUACCUUGUCAUUCCUGAUUUUCCCAUUACAAACAACCAAAGAGAACCACUAUCUAUAAACCGUGCUGGCAAGAAUUUAUGGGACUGAGAAGUAUUUGUGGGAUAUGCAAAUGAUUUUAACAAAUGCAAUACAUUCCUUAAUUGUCAAAGGGAAACACAGAAUGAAACUGACUGUGAGUCCCUCAGUCACGCCCAAUUCUUCGUGACCCCAUGGACUGUAGCCCACCAAGCUCCGCUCUCCAUGGAAUUCUCCAGGGAAGAAUACUGCAGUGGGUUGCCAUUCCCAUCUUGGAUUUAAGAAGGGAGUGAAUUGAAUNNNNNNNNNNNNNNNNNNNNNNNNNNNNNNNNNNNNNNNNNNNNNNNNNNNNNNNNNNNNNNNNNNNNNNNNNNNNNNNAGGGGAUCUUCCCGACCCAGGGAUUGAACCCGGGUCUCCUGCAUUGUAGAGACUCUUUACCGACUGAGCCGAGUUACCCGUAAUAAAAACAUGGAAGCAUCAUGGCACGUCCACAGUGGCAACACAGGUGCUUUCAACCAGGGGUGGCUGUGUCCUCUGCCCCAGGGGACUCUAGGAUAUUAGGCAACGUCUGGAAAUAUUUUUCGGUUGUCCCAACUGGAGGAGGGAAGCUACUGGCAUAGCAGUAAGCAUCUACAACUCACAGAACAGUCUUCCACACAGUAGAUAGAUCAGGCCCCCAAAUGCUAAUAAUAUCCAGAAACUAUAUUUUAAUGGGACAGGCUUUAGCGUUAGGUAGGUUAGACUAGGGAAACAGAGUCCAAGAUGGUAGUCAGAGGAAGGGACGACGAGAAGAACCACGUGCAGAGGAAAGGAAAGGAAANNNNNNNNNNNNNNNNNNNNNNNNNNNNNNNNNNNNNNNNNNNNNNNNNNNNNNNNNNNNNNNNNNNNNNNNNNNNNNNNNNNNNNNNNNNNNNNNNNNGAACCACGUGCAGAGGAAAGGAAAGGAAAAAGCCCAUGAAAAGGAAAACUUGAGGCCUGGAAUAAGAACCUCUUGGGGGGAAGAAGCCUAACACGGCCCUUUCCCUGAUUGGCUUGACCAUACAUCCUAAUUGCAUUCCCUUCCCUGAUUGGUUGCAGACACAAGCCCUAUUUUGCAAGGGGAAAUAGCCAAUGGAGCCCGAGAACCGCCAAGGGGAAGAGAAACACGUAUGCAAAGGGAAACGGAAAAAUGAGACCAGACCACUCCAGCGGGUGUGGGUCCACUCUCCCGUCUGAAGACUGUCCUGCCUGUGGCUUGCUUAAUAAAUCCUGCCUGCUUGAGCUGUGUCGGUCUGUCGUUUUAAUUCUUUCCUACGAAGAGACAAGAACGGAGGGGAAGAAACCUACUCGACAGUAGACUCACCAAGCAGACACUUCUCUUCACGACUUCUGCCUGAUUCUUACUGUGCAAUAUUAGAAGUAACGCUUUCACACGGGCCUUAGACUCAGAAAGGAAUGCCUAGGGGACACUUUAGCCUAGAUUGUCACCAUCUAAAACGGGUUACCGAGGUCAACCAUGGAUUCUGUUCAGAGAAAAUGGUUCACUAAGAGACACAAAAACAUCAGAUAUCCAACUGCAAAA